rnacentral:rRNA from 1 species
GAGUACCACGGGACACGUGAAACCCUGUGUGAAGCAGGCGGGACCACUCUCCAAGGCUAAAUACUACCUAGCGACCGAUAGCGUAUAGUACCGCGAGGGAAUGGUGAAAACUACCCUGGGAGGGGUGCGAAAUAGAACCUGAAACCCUGCACUUACAAGCUGUGGAAGCACAUUUCUUGUGUGACCGCGUACUUUUUGUAGAACGGGCCAACGAGUUACGU